rnacentral:rRNA from 1 species
GACGAACGCUGGCGGCGUGCCUAAUACAUGCAAGUUGAGCGCUGAAGGUUGGUACUUGUACCGACUGGAUGAGCAGCGAACGGGUGAGUAACGCGUGGGGAAUCUGCCUUUGAGCGGGGGACAACAUUUGGAAACGAAUGCUAAUACCGCAUAAAAACUUUAAACACAAGUUUUAAGUUUGAAAGAUGCAAUUGCAUCACUCAAAGAUGAUCCCGCGUUGUAUUAGCUAGUUGGUGAGGUAAAGGCUCACCAAGGCGAUGAUACAUAGCCGACCUGAGAGGGUGAUCGGCCACAUUGGGACUGAGACACGGCCCAAAAUCCUACGGGAGGCAGCAGUAGGGAAUCUUCGGCAAUGGACGAAAGUCUGAACGAGCAACGCCGCGUGAGUGAAGAAGGUUGUCGGAUCGUAAAAAUCUGUUGGUAGAGAAGAACGUUGGUGAGAGUGGAAAGCUCAUCAAGUGACGGUAACUACCCAGAAAGGGACGGCUAACUACGUG